AAAUAAAGAGAGCUAUCGUCGACAGUAGGGAUAUAAUUCACUGUCAUGGAAAUUGCUCUCUUUAUGUAC
rnacentral:pre_miRNA from 1 species